GGUCCGGUGGUCUAAUGGUAUGAAGCCCGCUAGAUAAGCCUAUACGUAAGCCUAUACGCCCUGGCGCUACGGGAUGAGGUUGGCGAUCUGGGUUCGAGUCCCAGUCGGGUCA